CCUACGGGAGGCAGCAGUGGGGGAUAUUGCACAAUGGGGGGAACCCUGAUGCAGCGACGCCGCGUGGGUGAAGGAGUGCUUCGGCAUGUAAAGCCCUAUCGGCAGGGAAGAAGCAAGACGGUACCUGACUAAGAAGCCCCGGCUAACUACGUGCAAGCAGCCGCGGUAAUACGAAGGGGGCGAGCGUUAUCCGGAUUCACUGGGUGUAAAGGGAGCGUAGACGGCCAUGCAAGCCAGGGGUGAAAGCCCGGGGCCCAAACCCGGGACUGCCCUUGGAACUGUGCGGCUAGAGUGCGGGAGGGGCAGGCGGAAUUCCUGGUGUAGCGGUGAAAUGCGUAGAUAUCAGGAGGAACACCGGCGGCGAAGGCGGCCUGCUGGACUGCGACUGACGUUGAGGCUCGAAAGCGUGGGGAGCGAACAGGAUUAGAUACCCUGGUAGUC
rnacentral:rRNA from 1 species